UGAUUUCAAAUAAACCUGUUGGAUUAUAACGUGGUGUCGUGUGACAUCUGACUUUGUCUACCCCAGUCCAACACCAGCACCUCCACAUCAUACUGGCUUUGCAAAUGCCAUUGAUGCCAUCACAAUGGAUAUAUUACUGGAGUAAUACCUUUGUAUAAUAUGAUAUUAAUAUUGGAAAAAACUGGUUGGGGUGUACUGUAAGUAACAUUGGAAUAAUGAGCGGCUACAUUUUCAACUAAAACUUGUUUACACCUUAACAAUAUUUUGAAUCUGUUACUAUUCCAUCAUUUCCCCUUAUUAGCCAUUUUCAUCUUUAUUUGAAAUAAUCUAAAAUUAAAUGUAUUAAAGGUGGUAAGUAAACAUGCACUGAUUUAUUUUAUUAGAUUACAGAAUUUUAGUUUAUCAGAUUUUGAAAUUGAUAGUUUAUUACACCAUAGAAUAAUAUAAUUGAUUUUAGACUUUUUAUAUAUAAUAAAAAUGAUGAGUUAAAACAGUUGUUGUUUUCCAAGGCAUAAUUGACUGACUGGUUACCAACAAAAGACUUAUUGCAGAAAUGUAGAAAAGCAUACUUUGAAGCAUUUGAUCAGUGAAUUACAGUAGUUGCAAUAAUUGACAUAAUCAUCUUUUGAAAGACAUUCUCGCAUUAUAACUUCAAAAAUGUGACCUUUUCUGUGAUAAAUAUUCAGUAUAACUCCAUACAGUGAGUUUCCAACAGUUAUCUUGUCUAUGUAAAGGCUAUGUAAAACUGUGUGUUAAAUUGUACUACUACCAAAUAUCAGAUGUAAAAGUUUCAAGUGCUAGCUGCAACAAACUUAGGUUGUGUGAAAUGUAUUUACGAUAGAUUUUAUUUGAUGCCAAGUGAAAUUUCAGUGAAUUUAAGAGUUACUCUCUAUUGCACAUCACUAGUUUGUCAGGUUUCCCAUUGUGUUAAAGUAUUGUUAUUUAUGUGUUAACAUGGCUAAGCUUUGAAAGUCAUUAGUUCAGAUAUCCACAAAAGGUACCAUGCACGUCAAGCACAUUUCUGGUACUGGGCUUGAGUCAUUAUGAAUGACUAAGGGAAUAAUAGUGAUGGCGAAUUAAGGUAUUGUAUAGCGAAAUGCUCAGAAUGUACUAUUUUGUGAUUGUUGCUUGUGUACUACGCUAUAUGUGACAAUAUAAUCACUGAAUAUAAGGUGGUAAAUUUAAGCUUUUGUUUCAUAAUUGCACCUUUGGUUCUAAAUCCUGGUUCUUUAUUUUGAUUAGAUAUUACAAAAUGUAUAUAGCACUGAGCCUCAACCUGAGUGGAUAAAUAGCAUUUUUGAUUGAUUUUAAAGGUCAAGUAACAAGAAGUGACAUGCGAUCUACUAGUUCGUUAAGGCAUGUGAUUUGUCCCUGACUGACCUCUUCGAGCCUGGAAUUGAUCAGUAAAGCCACCAAUUCAAGCAACUUCUCCACCCUUCCAAGAUAACAGUGCUCCCAGACAGCUCCAUAUUAUUAUGUAGGAACAUGGAAAAUCUCACCAUUAUGAUUCCAGCAGCCUGAUUUGAGUCAAGUGGUUUAGGUUAUGCACCUGACCAACCAUAGGCCCCGCCCCACACCCUGGUGUUGAAAUGUUGUCUGCUGCAGUUACAGAACAUGGUGCUGUGUGGAAAAUAGGAGUGAUAAGCUUAUCAAUCAGUGGAGGGGACUGGGAUGCACCUUGGGCAGUAAAUGGGCAUCAAAGAAGGGAUAGGGUUGCAUUUGAGGACCAUGAGAGAUAUAAAAGGUACGUUUUAUAUCUACUUUAGAUAUUUCGUGUGCGGUGUUGGUACAGUGAUGCAGUGAUGCUGCUGACGACUGUACGCAGUCUGAGUGUCUUCUGUUCUACAAUGUGCUCAUCACCCAAAACUGAACUAAAGUCAAGCAAAGGGCUGUCUUAUGAUGUAGACUAGAUAUUACAUCUUUCACACAUGCUAUCAUACAUGUUUCUUCAAUUAUUCCAAAGUGGACUGAUAAAGACACUACAAAGUUAAGCCUAAUAUGAUCAUGAAGUAGUGUUAUUUCAGAGACAGCAAAUUAAUAUGCAAGCAAACAAUCAAUCCUGAUUCCAAAAUCUUGAAAGCUCAAUCCCAUCUCUUGUUUCAUGGCUGACAUUUGUUUCUGGCAUGACGUUUUUUUCAGAUCACUUUUUACUGUAGAGACUGACCUGAAAUAUAAGGCCUCUGGCCUUAGCCUUGCAGUCCCAUACUUCAAAACUAAUUGCCCACGCACAGGCUUUUAACCUCAGGCUACAGAUUAUAGAGGCAUUCAAAUGAAUGCACUGGUCUUUCCAUAUAAAUAUGACAUAAGCAAAUAAUUGAUAAAGUGGAAUUGAAUGUAGCAAAAUGAAUGGUUGGACUCUCUAAAUGCGUUUUGUUUUAGGACAAUUUAAGAGCAUUCUACAUCGUACUAUACAGUUAAUAGUUUCUCUACAUUAAAACAAUGAGUUGAGAUCAGUUUGGUGUUGUCCAGAACUUGUACGAUUUACUUCUUUCACAAACAUAACAUGCAUUUUUUUCACCAAUUUGCCCUCGGUUGGACUGAGAACUGUAAAUAAAGCAGACAUAUUUUUUAGAUGCAAUGUUUACGUUAACCAUUUAGGAUUGUCAUAACUAACCAUAGCAAAAGCUGACUUCUAAUCUAAUGGAUUUUAACCGUUAUUAAAUAGCCUGCAAUGACAACAGGCUGAACCUUUUUCUUUUUGGUUCCAUGUCAAUUUCAUUGAGUUCCACUGAAGGUUUAUCUCAAAGUUUUCUUUCACUAUUGUCCUAAACCUACUUCAUUAUCUACCUGCCCAAUCCAAUAGCAACUCAAUGCUAGCCUGAUUCUACCACUUGCCAUAACUGGAAGAACUCGCCACUGGCCAGACAUUUUGGAAUGGACUGGCAUUCCUGUUGACAGUGCCAUCUUUAAAAGAUUUUUGCACACCUGGACAUGCACUGACAGACCCGAACUACCCUGCACAGUUUGUGAUGUUUGCCCAUGGCAAAUGUCAUGGCAGAGAAGGGGAACUUUCAACCAACUUUCAGGACAGGUGACUGAUAGUUCUUUUCCAUGGGGUGGUGCAAAGGAGUGCCAUCCUCUUCCUCCAGGACUGCCAAAGGAGGCCACGAUGCCAGGCCUUGCCAACCUGGUCCUAGGUUGCCACACAAGUCAGUGCAAUCUCAGCCAUCCGGAGAAUACCCAGCACUGUAAGAAGAAGGUCAUUGACCUUUUUGAAUCCACCAGGGUAAGUGCUGCUAUUAUCUCUUCACUACUUCUUUAUCACUUUGUCUCUUCUACACCAAUUUUCCAUUGAGGCUCUACCCCUCUUACUAUUGCAUGCAACAUCUUCUCUGAUUCGCUGUCACCCACCUCAAUCCCCACACACUAACCCUGCAUGCCUCUGCUCUUACUCAUUCCCUUGGGAUACAUCACUAUCUUUCCCCCCACCUGCACAACACUAACAGUUGUUCCAGCCACUUUCAUAUUGCUCAAUUCCUCCUCUGCUCUCAUUACAGGAGAAAACAACCCACAAUAGGGCAGAAAUGAACAGGUUCUGAUGUUCAGUUCUUCAUCCCUUAUGAGAAAAGGAUCCUGACUGCAUCCAAGACAGGUACUGGAGACUGCCCUUAUUGUGCUGGGGCCCCUGACUUGUGGCGAUCUCCUCUAACUGAGAACAGCUGUCAACCAUGUUAAACUUCUUGGUUUUGUGUCUGCGCUAAAUGGCAAGGCAAGAUUGAACUACCAUGAGCCUUAUAGCUCUGAGAGGGCAGAGUAUGAAAAGGCAAGGCAGGGAUACUGUAAGCAUCCAGGUAUGCUUAAAUUAAGUAAACAUUGUAACAGCAAGUAACAUCCCGGAGAUGCAGCCUGGUCCCAUCCCCGAGCUGGAUGCCUGCCCCUGUUAGUUGCUUGUGAAGCCUGAAGUGUAAAGUGCAGAAGCAUAUUGUAAGUGUAUCAGAGAUGUGCCAUGCUGAUGUGGAGGGGCUGGCAUAUGUGCACCGCCAAGGUCUUUGGAAAUUGUGUGUGCAGUCACUGUCCAUGGGUGUGUGCCCUGAGAUGCUGGUACUGGGUGUCCAAGAUGGAGGGCCUUGAUAACAAGCAGUGAGCAGAUGCCGGCUCAGACUUCAUGUCAAGAUUUCUCAGCGUCUAAUUUGUUCACAGCCGGUGAUAGGAUAAGAGGCUGCAUAUUACUGAGGGAAGAUCUGCAAUUAAUCAGGCUGACAACAAGCAAUAAUCCCCUUUAAAUAGGCAUCUUGCUGAUACCUAGUGAGAAUCUCAAAUCAUUAUCUGGGACUUGGCUGGAAAGUGCAGCUAGUUGUUUUUGCUGUCAGGAACGCCUUGUCCAACUUCUCUCACAAUUCUCCCGGAUUCUCAUUGUAGCCCAUAUUAUUCAGGCCCCUAUAUCUUAUUCCCCUAUACCCCUAUUCCCCAAUAUCUUUUCAGAAUAUAUCUGGGAAGACAGCUAAUAAAAAAAAAACAAACUGCUCACUCACUCUUCCCAGAAUUCUCUCUUUCACAUAAAACAAUAUCUGCAAAUGACUUAUGAAUCUUUAUAUUCAUUGAAACUCCUUGUAAUCUUCAAUCAAUAAAUAUAACAUUCCUUUAUAAAAAUUGUAAUAAGAUAGUUCCUUGGUACAAAUUAUAAACCACAGAGACUCAAAAUUCUAAGGAGUAGGAAGAACAAGGUUUUGCUCUUUUUGGAAGGGCAUGUGAGAAAAACAGUUGGAAGUCAUUUGCUGCUGUGCAAGUUCAGAGGAUAAGAUGGUACUCUGCAUACUGCUUUAAAAGAGACAACAAACCAAAACUAUGGUGAUUUACAUUGAGGUCCUUUUUUGAAUUUGUUUUCAGCAUGUGGUAGUGUUGGUAAUUCUACAUAUAUUGCCUGUCCCUAGUUGUCCUAAUUUAAUUAAAAGCCCAACUAGACAUUCCUUUCUCUCACCCCUCCUCAUGACUGGCUUCUGGUCUGCUAGUACAGUAAAUGUGACAUUACUGCACAGUGCACAGAAAGUAAGGCACAUAAAGUUUAACAGAGUGCAAAUGGCUCUCCUCAAACAUGAAAAUAAUGAAAUCUUCAUACCAUUUGCAAUUCAACUACAGACAGCAGUUGAAAUGAAUAGCAUUGAUGAAUUUAAGGAGAAGCUAGAUAAGAAUGUAAAGGAGAAGGUAAUAGAGCAUUACCCUGAUAACUGAAGAAGGAUGCGAUGCUUGAAUGGAGCAUAAAGGCUGGCAUGAGUUGGUAGGGCUGAAUGGCCUAAAUCUGUACAGUAAAUUUAGAGUUAAAAUCCCACCACGACAGAUCUUUAUUCUGUACCUUUAUCUAAAGGUUGGGGAAAGAAAGAUAGCAUCAGUAAAAAGAUCUUGAGACUGUCUGCUGUCACGUAAACACAACUAAUGCCAUUUAGGCCAGGAAACCCACUGUUCUCAUUCACUGUGGCCUUUAUGUGGUUGGCUAGAAGCAGUCUAGAAGUUCUAAACAGUUAUAUAGAGCUGAGCACAACCACAGAAGAGUAAUAAACAUCAGCUUUUCCUGUUACACUCACAUUUUUUCAAAGAAUAAAAAACAUUUAAAUUCCAUGUUUGUAAGCAUUCAUAACAGCAUGAAACCUAUUCUUCAGGAGGUCCUUCUGCAAGCUACCCUAAAGUUGACUUGCAAAAGUCAUAUUCUGACUAACAUAGGGUCUGACUGGAGAUUUUUUUUAACACUACAAAGAUUUGUUGUGAAAAUCUCAAAUUCUUUAAAUUCAGUAACUUCUUUACAGGGCAAAUUAAUCUCAUUUUUUAAAGAGACUUCCUCUCUUUUUCUAGAGUUGCUGGAUUAAGAUAGGCAAUUGUAACCCAGUUAGUUAUAUCUUCACAACACUUCAGCAGUGAACUGGCUCCAAUUCCACAGUAGAUAGAGUUGUUUGAAUUUAUAAUGAGAUAACAGACCUGAUAAAUCCUCACGAAUGUCGCUGUUUUAAAGGGUAAAAAAGAGAUAAAUCAGGAGAUAAUAACUUAUUUAUUUUGAAUUUUGGAUUUGUGUGUCCUAGAUUAUUUAUGGUAGAAUCAUAACAACAGGAACUUGUUUUCGUAAUACAGUAAAACAUGUCAAAUCUCUUUGGGCAUUAUAAAAUCAAAGACAGUGUCAGGACACAUGACAUAUUUGGGCAGAUAAACAAAAGCUUAGUCAGAGGUAGGAAUGGAGUAUCUUUAAAUGUAGAAAAGAGAAUUAAAAGAGCAGAGAGGUGUAAAUUAGUGAAGCAGAGAUGCUCAGAAUUAGAGGAAUGCUGAUAUCGGAGGAUUCUAAAGCUGCAGGAUAUUUCAGAACUAGGGUAGAAUGAGGCACUGCUUAACUCGAAGCCAGUGUAGACCAGAGACCAUUAUGAUGAGUGAAUGGGACUGAGUGUAGGUCAGGACAUGAGCAGCAAUACUACUUAUCCUAAACCUAACACAUAAAUUAAAGAAUAUGAUGACUUUUAAUGGUUUACUUUUAGAUCAUCAGUUAUUAUUAUAACUAUUUUCUAUGUUGAAAGUACAGCAAUUUUAUAAAUCAUCUGAAAUGAAGUGCAUAAUUACUUGUUUCAUAUGUUGGUUGAUGUCCACCAUCACAUUGUGAAAAAAAGUAAAUUCUGUCUUAUUGUCAAAACAUGAUUUGAGCUAUGCUGCUAUUUAAAAUGUUUUUCCCCCGAUACGGAAUGACAUAAUUGCAACAAAUCUGUGUCUGACUACAUAAGUGUGUGUGGUGACAAAGGAGGAUAUUUCUUCCUUUAAAUUACUGGCCCUUGGCAGACGUCAUAUAAGAAUUCGUAGCUCAAUACUUACUGAUCUGAUCCAAAAUCUAACCUUUCUCAGUUAUAAUUUUCUGUAUGGUUGAAUGCGUUCUUUUUGGUUGGUGUUAAGUCCAGCUAUGGGGUCUCUAAGCACAAGCUAACCUGACAUUCUGUAAAUGUAUAUGAGAGAAAGCUACUUUUGCAAUGUAAUAUUAAAUUGAGGUUCAACAUAUCUGAUUCAGAUGGAUGUCAAUGAUCCCGUGAUGCUAUUGUCCUAGUGCACUGGUCGAUAUUCCUUCAGCCACAAGCAAAGAAAAGAAUGCCAUCCCCAGCACUGUCAUGAAGUUGUUACCAUCUUUAAAGUUGUAUUUGUAAAAUGGACACCAACUGUUUUAAGACGGUGAUGACUUAUCUUAUGUUUUUCGGCAGUAUUCAAUUUCUCUCAGUCUUGAAACAUGAGUAAAUACCUAAAUACAUAUGGAUAAUCCCAGCCAUUAAUGAAAUUCACACACGCCUUUUUUUAAACAACAGAAAGGACUAUAACCUGAAAGUUGACUGAUCUUACUACUUCACCAUAGACCAUAAAAACAUCAAGACUCACAUAGAGUCGUAGUCAUACAGCUUGGAAACAGAGCCUUCAGUCCAACCAUAAUCCCAAACUAUACAGGUGCCACCUGCCUGAGUUUAGCCCAUAAAACUCCAAACAUUUCUUAUUCAUGUACUUUUCUAAAUGUCUUUUAAAUGUUGAAAUUGUACCCACAUUUAGCACUUCCUUUGGAAGUUCAUUCCACACAGGAACCAUGCUGUGUUUCAAAAAAAAAUUGAAUAUUGUUAAAUUCAGGUUGCUGAGUUGACCAAAUAAGGUGUGUGUCAUGUGACUGGCGAGACAUACUGGCACCAUACUACCCUAUAUGGGGCAUGGAAUAUGGAUGUUUAAUUUUUCAGAGGUUUUUAUUUACCAGUAAAAGUCCAUUGGUUGGGAUCGAACAAUGUGAUCAGGAUUUGAUCAAAUCAUUGCCUGAAUGCCAGAGAUUUCUCCAGAAACUGAGCACAUUUUUGGGAUAAGUGGUAGAAAUUGCUUUGUUCUUCUGUCAGAGGAGAAGAAGCUUUGAGACCACAUUAGAAAAAGUACAAGCCCUGAACUCCUCCCAAUGAAUUUAUACAUAUGAAAAUGGAUCUCAUCAACUUUUCAUAAUGUUGUGAUGGCUCCUCAUUCAAACACAAAAACCUUGCUGUCUCAAGCAAUCAGGAUCUGCAAAGUCAAAACAGGAUAUUUACUGGCCUAACACGCCUGCAUAUUAGGCAAGGGUGUUUGGACUUGUAUCAAGUCACGUUGGUAAGUGUAAGCAGUUUCUGUUCACAUUUUCCACUUACAAUGGUUCUUGGACUUGAGGAUAUUACAGAGAACAAAAUUGCACAGAAAUGGUUUUUACUUGCAGUAGUUGUGUCCAUGGGUUUUAAGGUUGUUUUUCAUAUUUCAUAAAGUCUAGUUAGAAGGGAUUCAAAACCUUUGUAGGUCAGCCAUACUUGUUAUCUGCUUUUAAAAAUAACAGCAGAAGCUGUUGUGAGACGGAAACACCAUUGAGACCAUAAGAUAUUGGAGCAGAAUUAGGCCAUUUAGCCUAUCAAGUCUGCUCCCCCAUUCGAUCAUGGCUGAAUUGUUUCUCAUACGCAAUCUUCUGUCUUCUCUCCAUUACCCUUGAUCCCCUACUAAUCAAGAACUGAUCCAUAUCUGUCCGAAAUACGCUCAAUAACUUGACCUCUACAGCAAUAAAUUUCACAGAUUCACCCUGGCUGAAGAAAUUCCUCCUCAUCUCAGUUCUAAAGAGUUGUCCUUUUGCCCUGGUCGGGUCUUAGUGUCUCCUACUAGUGGGAACAUCUUCUCCACAUCCACUCUAUCCAGGUCUCUGUGUUCUCUAAGUUUCAAGGAGGUUCCACCCUUAUCCUUCUAAGCUGUGCCCAGUCAUCAAUCGCUCUUCAUAUGACAAGCUCUUCAUUCCCAGGAUCAUUCUUGUAAACCUCCUCUGGACCUCUCCAGUGCUACUAUCUGAAUUCCAUUGAACUAAAUGCAAGACAACUAUGCAGCUAAGGUAACAUCCAAUUAUACUGUUUCCCCAGCAAACUGCUCCUUUUAAGCUGAGUUCUUGUAAACUCAACUACAGGAAGCCUCACAUCUUACUAAGAAUCCUUGUUUUUAGAAUAACUUAAGCUGAAGCAUCAAUUCAACUAAUAAACCAAGUGGCAAUUGUAUUCUUUUCUUCAUUUGUAUGACCAGAAGACAUAAGAGCAGAAAUAGACCAUUCAGCCCAUUAUGUCUGCUCUGCCAUUCGGUGAGAUCAUGGCUGACCUAA